rnacentral:misc_RNA from 1 species
ACCCUCCUGAACGAAUCCCCUUCCUCUUCAUCUCUGUCGUCAAAAGUCUGAUUCAAAUCCAAACCCAUCCAUUUGAAGAACUUGUUUCUUCGCUCACAAACACUUUCCAGAUUACCUAUCCAUCCCACGUAUCUUAAACUUUCAGGAAUAUCACCGUCAUCCCCAAAACUUGUGCUGCAGUUCUCAGAGCAAUCAGAUCCCCAAUCAGACACAGAGGAGAUCUCCUCACGGGUGUCGUAGAAUCUUUCAAUUUCCUCCUCACGGUAAAUCAAAUCCAUCAUCUGUUCUCUCUCUUGACCCCUCCUCUUCGAUUCAAAUCCAUGGCAUCCUGACUAAAACUUGAUAGAUAAAUACCAAGUCAGAAACCACCCGUUUGAACCGUCGCACACCCUCAACAAUCCCAAUUAGAUUCUACAUAGACUCCAACUCUAGUAAUCCUGGG